GGGUACAUAAGUGGCGGACGGGUGAGUAACACGUAGGAAAUCUGCCCUAAGGAGGGGGACAACUUUGGGAAACUAAAGCUAAUACCCCAUAUGUGCCUGGUUGAAAUACCAGUCAUCAAAGAUUCAUCGCCUUAGGAUGAGCCUGCGUCUGAUUAGCUUGUUGGUGGGGUAAUGGCCUACCAAGGCGACGAUCAGUAGCUGGUUUGAGAGGAUGAUCAGCCACAAUGGGACUGAGACACGGCCCAUACUCC
rnacentral:rRNA from 1 species